rnacentral:tRNA from 1 species
CCUUCGAUAGCUCAGUUGGUAGAGCGGUGGACUGUAGUUGGUAUUCAUGUGGACAUCCAUAGGUCGCUGGUUCAAAUCCGGCUCGAAGGA